UGAUCCUGGCUCAGGAUGAACGCUGGCGGCGUGCUUAACACAUGCAAGUCGAACGAACCUUCGGGUUAGUGGCGGACGGGUGAGUAACGCGUGGGAAUCUGCCCUCAGGAGGGGGAUAACGGCUGGAAACGGCCGCUAAUACCCCAUAUGCCGAGAGGUGAAAUGAAAUUCGCCUGAGGAUGAGCCCGCGUCUGAUUAGCUAGUUGGUGGGGUAAGAGCCUACCAAGGCGACGAUCAGUAGCUGGUCUGAGAGGAUGAUCAGCCACACUGGGACUGAGACACGGCCCAGACUCCUACGGGAGGCAGCAGUGGGGAAUUUUCCGCAAUGGGCGCAAGCCUGACGGAGCAACGCCGCGUGAGGGACGAAGGCCUCUGGGCUGUAAACCUCUUUUCUCAAGGAAGAAGAUCUGACGGUACUUGAGGAAUAAGCCACGGCUAAUUCCGUGCCAGCAGCCGCGGUAAUACGGGAGUGGCAAGCGUUAUCCGGAAUUAUUGGGCGUAAAGCGUCCGCAGGCGGCUUUGUAAGUCUGCUGUCAAAGCGUGGAGCUUAACUCCAUUUCGGCAGUGGAAACUACGAGGCUUGAGUGUGGUAGGGGCAGAGGGAAUUCCCGGUGUAGCGGUGAAAUGCGUA
rnacentral:rRNA from 1 species